rfam:Schistosoma curassoni strain Dakar, Senegal genome assembly, scaffold: SCTD_scaffold0014560
ACACUGCUGAGGCGUUCCACAACAGGACGAAACGGCCGUCCAGUGC